GUCGUCAGCUCGUGUCGUGAGAUGUUGGGUUAAGUCCCGCAACGAGCGCAACCAUUGCCCUAUGUUGCUAAUAUAUCUUCAACCGUAAGGUUUAGAUGUAGGCACUCUUAGGGGACUGCCUGGGAUAACCAGGAGGAAGGUGGAGAUGACGUCAAGUCAGUACGGCCCUUAUGCCCUGGGCUACACACGUGUUACAAUGGCUGGUACAAAGGGUUGCCAACCCGCGAGGGGGAGCUAAUCUCAAAAAACCAGCCCCAGUUCGGAUAGCAGUCUGCAAUUCGACUGCUUGAAGCCCGAAUCCCUAGUAAUGGAAGAUCAGCUCGCUUCCGUGAAUACGUUCCCGGGUCUUGUACACACCGCCCUUCAAGCGAUGAGAGUUAGGAGUACCCGAAGUCCUACGUAGGUAGGCCCAAGGUAAAACUAGCGAUUGGCGCUAAGUCGUAACAAGGUAACCG
rnacentral:rRNA from 1 species